rnacentral:rRNA from 1 species
CCUACGGGAGGCAGCAGUCGAGAAUCAUUCACAAUGGGGGAAACCCUGAUGGUGCGACGCCGCGUGGGGGAAUGAAGGUCUUCGGAUUGUAAACCCCUGUCAUGUGGGAGCAAAUUAAAAAGAUAGUACCACAAGAGGAAGAGACGGCUAACUCUGUGCCAGCAGCCGCGGUAAUACAGAGGUCUCAAGCGUUGUUCGGAAUCACUGGGCGUAAGGCGUGCGUAGGCUGUUUCGUAAGUCGUGUGUGAAAGGCGCGGGCUCAACCCGCGGACGGCACAUGAUACUGCGAGACUAGAGUAAUGGAGGGGGAACCGGAAUUCUCGGUGGAGCAGUGAAAUGCGUAGAUAUCGAGAGGAACACUCGUGGCGAAGGCGGGUUCCUGGACAUUAACUGACGCUGAGGCACGAAGGCCAGGGGAGCGAAAGGGAUUAGAUACCCGGGUAGUC